AUUGAACGCUGGCGGCAUGCUUUACACAUGCAAGUCGAACGGUAACAGGCCGCAAGGUGCUGACGAGUGGCGAACGGGUGAGUAAUGCAUCGGAACGUGCCCAGUCGUGGGGGAUACCGCAGCGAAAGCUGCGCCAAUACCGCAUACGAUCUAUGGAUGAAAGCGGGGGACCGUAAGGCCUCGCGCGAGUGGAGCGGCCGAUGUCAGAUUAGGUAGUUGGUGGGGUAAAGGCUCACCAAGCCAACGAUCUGUAGCUGGUCUGAGAGGACGACCAGCCACACUGGGACUGAGACACGGCCCAGACUCCUACGGGAGGCAGCAGUGGGGAAUUUUGGACAAUGGGCGCAAGCCUGAUCCAGCAAUGCCGCGUGCAGGAAGAAGGCCUUCGGGUUGUAAACUGCUUUUGUACGGAACGAAACGGCUCUGGUUAAUACCUGGGGCUAAUGACGGUACCGUAAGAAUAAGCACCGGCUAACUACGUGCCAGCAGCCGCCGUAACAC
rnacentral:rRNA from 1 species